rnacentral:rRNA from 1 species
UACGUAGGGUGCGAGCGUUGUCCGGAAUUAUUGGGCGUAAAGAGCUCGUAGGUGGUUUGUCACGUUGUUCGUGAAAACCCACAGCUCAACUGUGGGCGUGCGAGCGAUACGGGCAGACUAGAGUACUGCAGGGGAGACUGGAAUUCCUGGUGUAGCGGUGAAAUGCGCAGAUAUCAGGAGGAACACCGGUGGCGAAGGCGGGUCUCUGGGCCGAUACUGACGCUGAGGAGCGAAAGCGUGGGGAGCGAACAGG